rnacentral:rRNA from 1 species
AGGAUGAACGCUGGCGGCGUGCUUAACACAUGCAAGUCGAACGUGAGGAGUAGCAAUACUCUGAAAGUGGCAAACGGGUGAGUAACACGUAGGUAACCUGCCUUGAAGUGGGGGAUAACCACGGGAAACUGUGGCUAAUACCGCAUAUGCUUUUUUGACACGGGAGUGUCGAUUCGCAAAGCUUUAGUGCUUCAAGAGGGGCCUGCGUCCGAUUAGCUUGUUGGUGGGUAACGCCACCAAGGCGAUGAUCGGUAGCUGGUCUGAGAGGACGAUCAGCCACACGGGAACUGAGACACGGUCCCGACUCCGUACGGGGGCAGCAGUGAGGAAUGUUGGGCAAGUGGACGCAAGUCUAGACCCAGCAACGGCCGCGUGGAGGACGAAGGCCUUCGGUUGUAAACUCCUUUGUGGGACAAGCGAAGGACUGGAACCCAAGAAUAAGUCACGGACUAAC